rnacentral:siRNA from 1 species
GUGUAUUAAGUGGCGGUGUGUUG